CCUACGGGAGGCAGCAGUGAGGAAUAUUGGUCAAUGGACGAGAGUCUGAACCAGCCAAGCAGCGUGAAGGAUGACUGCCCUAUGGGUUGUAAACUUCUUUUAUAUGGGAAUAAAAUGUUCCACGUGUGGGAUUUUGUAUGUACAAUAUGAAUAAGGAACGGCUAACUCCGUGCCAGCAGCCGCGGUAAUACGGAGGAUCCGAGCGUUAUCCGGAUUUAUUGGGUUUAAAGGGAGCGUAGGUGGAUAGUUAAGUCAGUGGUGAAAGCUUGCGGCUCAACCGUAAAAUUGCAGUUGAAACUGGCAGGCUUGAGUACAGUAGAGGUGGGCGGAAUUCGUGGUGUAGCGGUGAAAUGCUUAGAUAUCACGAAGAACUCCGAUUGCGAAGGCAGCUCACUGGACUGCAACUGACGCUGAGGCUCGAAAGUGUGGGGAUCAAACAGGAUUAGAUACCCUUGUAGUC
rnacentral:rRNA from 1 species